CAUAGGUUAAUGAGGCGAACCGGGGGAACUGAAACAUCUAAGUACCCCGAGGAAAAGAAAUCAACCGAGAUUCCCCCAGUAGCGGCGAGCGAACGGGGAGCAGCCCAGAGCCUGAAUCAGUGUGUGUGUUAGUGGAAGCGUCUGGAAAGGCGCGCGAUACAGGGUGACAGCCCCGUACACAAAAAUGCACAUGCUGUGAGCUCGAUGAGUAGGGCGGGACACGUGGUAUCCUGUCUGAAUAUGGGGGGACCAUCCUCCAAGGCUAAAUACUCCUGACUGACCGAUAGUGAACCAGUACCGUGAGGGAAAGGCGAAAAGAACCCCGGCGAGGGGAGUGAAAAAGAACCUGAAACCGUGUACGUACAAGCAGUGGGAGCACGCUUAGGCGUGUGACUGCGUACCUUUUGUAUAAUGGGUCAGCGACUUAUAUUCUGUAGCAAGGUUAACCGAAUAGGGGAGCCGAAGGGAAACCGAGUCUUAACUGGGCGUUAAGUUGCAGGGUAUAGACCCGAAACCCGGUGAUCUAGCCAUGGGCAGGUUGAAGGUUGGGUAACACUAACUGGAGGACCGAACCGACUAAUGUUGAAAAAUUAGCGGAUGACUUGUGGCUGGGGGUGAAAGGCCAAUCAAACCGGGAGAUAGCUGGUUCUCCCCGAAAGCUAUUUAGGUAGCGCCUCGUGAAUUCAUCUCCGGGGGUAGAGCACUGUUUCGGCAAGGGGGUCAUCCCGACUUACCAACCCGAUGCAAACUGCGAAUACCGGAGAAUGUUAUCACGGGAGACACACGGCGGGUGCUAACGUCCGUCGUGAAGAGGGAAACAACCCAGACCGCCAGCUAAGGUCCCAAAGUCAUGGUUAAGU
rnacentral:rRNA from 1 species